GGAAGUUCUCGGGGCGGGGUGCAAUUCCCCACCGGCGGUAAUCGUGGGCGACAGUUCGUCCGCGGAGCCCGCGAGCGCCCGCAUCACCCGAUGCGGGGUCAGCAGAUUCCGGUGAGAUUCCGGAGCCGACGGUGAUAGUCCGGAUGAAAGAGAACACCA
rnacentral:ncRNA from 2 species